AUUAUUCUCUUUCUGCGAUUGCUCUUUUAAUAUUAGUUUCUCUUUAUUUGUGUUCACUCUCUGGCUCUAAAAUCUUCUUUCCCGCUUCUCCGAUUGAGUGGUGCUCAUUAAGAUCGGAGUGUUCAAUGAGGGCGGAUGUCGCGGACGCAAUGUUCUUUAGAAAAAGGCAAACGACUCUCAAGAGGAGUAGAACAGAAACACCAGGAUCAAAAUUAAAUUGAGGUAAACGAGUCACACGAGGAGUAAGACACUAACACAAGGAUCAAAAUAAAAUUCAGGUAAACGAGUCACACGAGGAGUAAGACACUAACACAAGGAUCAAAAUAAAAUUCAGUGGUGCUCAUUAAGAUCGGAGUGUUCAAUGAGGGCGGAUGUCGCGGACGCAAUGUUCUUUAGAAAAAGGCAAACGACUCUCAAGAGGAGUAGAACAGAAACACCAGGAUCAAAAUUAAAUUGAGGUAAACGAGUCACACGAGGAGUAAGACACUAACACAAGGAUCAAAAUAAAAUUCAGUGGUGCUCAUUAAGAUCGGAGUGUUCAAUGAGGGCGGAUGUCGCGGACGCAAUGUUCUUUAGAAAAAGGCAAACGACUCUCAAGAGGAGUAGAACAGAAACACCAGGAUCAAAAUUAAAUUGAGGUAAACGAGUCACACGAGGAGUAAGACACUAACACAAGGAUCAAAAUAAAAUUCAGGUAAACGAGUCACACGAGGAGUAAAACACAAACACAAGGAUCAAAACAAAAUUCAGGUGAGUGAACGAACGUGUUCAAAGUAGUUAAUAGUGCAUGUCUAUUUAAGUGUAAGAAACAAAAAAGACACAAACGGGCCAAUAAUUCGUUUCUUUAAUAGAUAAAUGCCUACAUUAUGUUCAAACUUUGCUAAAAAGACCCAAUUGGAAAAACAUAAAGUGUAUACCUAUACA